AACGAACGCUGGCGGCAGGCUUAACACAUGCAAGUCGAGCGCCCCGCAAGGGGAGCGGCAGACGGGUGAGUAACGCGUGGGAAUCUACCCAUCUCUACGGAAUAACGCAUGGAAACGUGUGCUAAUACCGUAUACGUCCUUCGGGAGAAAGAUUUAUCGGAGAUGGAUGAGCCCGCGUUGGAUUAGCUAGGUGGUGGGGUAAAGGCCUACCAAGGCGACGAUCCAUAGCUGGUCUGAGAGGAUGAUCAGCCACACUGGGACUGAGACACGGCCCAGACUCCUACGGGAGGCAGCAGUGGGGAAUAUUGGACAAUGGGCGCAAGCCUGAUCCAGCCGUGCCGCGUGAGUGAUGAAGGCCCUAGGGUUGUAAAGCUCUUUCACCGGUGAAGAUAAUGACGGAACCGGAGAAGAAGCCCCGGCUAACUUCGUGCCAGCCGCCGCAGUAACAC
rnacentral:rRNA from 1 species